rnacentral:rRNA from 1 species
UACGUAGGGGGCAAGCGUUGUCCGGAAUCAUUGGGCGUAAAGCGCGUGUAGGCGGCCGGUAAGUCCGCUGUGAAAGUCCAGGGCUCAACCCUGGGAUGCCGGUGGAUACUGUCGGGCUCGAGUCCGGAAGAGGCGAGUGGAAUUCCUGGUGUAGCGGUGAAAUGCGCAGAUAUCAGGAGGAACACCGAUGGCGAAGGCAGCUCGCUGGGACGUGACUGACGCUGAGACGCGAAAGCGUGGGGAGCAAACAGG